rnacentral:rRNA from 1 species
GGGCGUAAGCGCACGCAGGCGGUUUGUUAAGUCAGAUGUGAAAUCCCCNGGGCUCUACCUGGGAACUGCAUCUGAUACUGGCAAGCUUGAGUCUCGUAGAGGGGGGUAGAAUUCCAGGUGUAGCGGUGAAAUGCGUAGAGAUCUGGAGGAAUACCGGUGGCGAAGGCGGCCCCCUGGACGAAGACUGACGCUCAGGUGCGAAAGCGUGGGGAGCAAACAGGAUUAGAUACCCUGGUAGUCCACGCCGUAAACGAUGUCGACUUGGAGGUUGUGCCCUUGAGGCGUGGCUUCCGGAGCUAACGCGUUAAGUCGACCGCCUGGGGAGUACGGCCGCAAGGUUAAAACUCAAAUGAAUUGACGGGGGCCCGCACAAGCGGUGGAGCAUGUGGUUUAAUUCGAUGCAACGCGAAGAACCUUACCUGGUCUUGACAUCCACGGAAGUUUUCAGAGAUGAGAAUGUGCCUUCGGGAACCGUGAGACAGGUGCUGCAUGGCUGUCGUCAGCUCGUGUUGUGAAAUGUUGGGUUAAGUCCCGCAACGAGCGCAACCCUUAUCCUUUGUUGCCAGCGGUCCGGCCGGGAACUCAAAGGAGACUGCCAGUGAUAAACUGGAGGAAGGUGGGGAUGACGUCAAGUCAUCAUGGCCCUUCGACCAGGGCUACACACGUGCUACAAUGGCGCAUACAAAGAGAAGCGACCUCGCGAGAGCAAGCGGACCUCAUAAAGUGCGUCGUAGUCCGGAUUGGAGUCUGCAACUCGACUCCAUGAAGUCGGAAUCGCUAGUAAUCGUGGAUCAGAAUGCCACGGUGAAUACGUUCCCGGGCCUUGUACACACCGCCCGUCACACCAUGGGAGUGGGUUGCAAAAGAAGUAGGUAGCUUAACCUUCGGGAGGGCGCUUACCACUUUGUGAUUCAUGACUGGGGUGAAGUCGUAACAG